GAAGACUCAGGAGGCGGACUCAGGCGGUGGAGGGGGAGGGGCCGGGCCGGGGGGGGUACCUGUUGUGGAGGGACUAGGGAGGGAGUGGUCCCGCCGGCCGCACUGGCGCCAGUCAGAUUCGGCCCUAUGCGGCUAUGCUAUCGCUUUGAUGACAC